ACUUCCUUUUUUCAAUUUUCUGGCUUUCUUUAUUUGCUCGCUUUUGGUCAUUUUAAUGUUUUAUUCUUGAGAUUUCACAAGAAUUUAUAGGGCAUAGAGGGACAUAAAGGUGAUGAAGGACGGGCAAUAGAAAACACAUAAAAGCCAAUGAUUUUUCGUAACCAUUCUUUUCCAAUAUCCCAUCCUGGUUGGUAAAAAUUUAUGAAUUGUUUGCUCUGAAUUCAAGUGUUUAAGUAGUUUUGCAAUUACUAAUGUCAUGGCCCAACCC
rnacentral:lncRNA from 1 species